rnacentral:lncRNA from 1 species
AUCAUAAUACAUUUUGGUUUAAGAUGUGAAAUGGAUCCGGGGUAAUUUAUCUCAGGCAGCCAGUAUAUCCUUAAAAAAUAUUUCCAUUCCAAGUGUUACUUUAUAAGUAAGAUACAGUGGAACCAAUGGGAAAAAAACAAAAGCAAACCAAAGUUAAAUUAUUGCUUCUGAUGAGGUAAACCCUGUCCAGAGGACUUGUCAAGGACCAGCCUUUCUCUGAUUGACACGUGGGGGUGGGGUUUUCAGAGGGGAGGAAGCCUCUCGGGGUGAGGGAGAGUACUGCUCUAAAACACAGCUUGUUUGUGUAAGUGUUGCAUUGACCCCCAACCCGGUCCCCAUGGCAUCACCUGGGACAAGCCCAGGCACUUGACCAUGGAGAGGUACCUCUUUACGUCAUGCCUGGCAUUGGCUGCAUCUCCCUGAAGGGAAAAUGUCCAAACUUUGAGACGGUCACUCCUGCGGCUUCCCCUUUAUCAUCUUUGCCCAUAACAGCGCUUUUCUGAAAAAAUAUAUUUGACUGAAGAUUUUUCAUAUCUUAGCCCAAAUUCUUCUAGCUAAUUCUGAGAUGCCAUUUGCCAUGGCCAAUGGCUCAGAUAUUUGACACUGAGUCUCUAAUAGGUCUCUUUGCAAAACGUAGUGGAGAGAGACCUAAGAGGAAGUGCAGGGUGUUAGAGAUUUCAGUUCUUUGGCAUUUUCCACCUUUUAAUCCCUGCUGAACAAGUCAUUGCUUUGGGGACCAUCUUCUUUCCAUUGUGCACAGGAGGAGCCAUGCAUGCUCAUAGCAUGGCUGUUGACUGCAGUCGAUUUCAGCUAUCCUACAGAAAUCUACAGGUAACACACAUGCCAAAUAUUAUAAACCAAAUGCUAAACCUGGACUGGAGAAAGCUGAGAACCAGCCUGAUCUCUGUGCUCAGCUGGCCCUCUGUGCAGCAGCAGGGACUUUUGGUGGAGGAGGGUGGAAGUAGAGAGCAAAAUAAAGAGUCUGAUGAGAGCCCUUGUGGAGGUGAAUAGACUCUUUGACUGGCUGUCACCUCCACCCUAGGAACCAGCCCCUCUCCCAGCCCCCCAGGGCACUGGAGGUGGUUCCCUGCAGAGGGGAAACUGAGGCUCUUUGGACUGGGAGGUGCCAGGAAGCGCUAAAGGUGGGGCUACCAUAUCAAAACAGGGAAAUCAAGCUCUAAGUGAUGAUUCAUUUCACCUUUUCUUCCCUACUUAACUCUCACAACACAAGAAGCAAGAUUUUUGACCUUCUAGACAAGAGAGAGAGAAAAGUAUUCCAGCUGGAAACUGACAGCCCUAGAGAAAAGAACUAAAUCUACUUUUAUCCACAGUUCGACAGACUCAGCAACCAGAUCAUUCUACAGUGAAGUACAACAUGGGUGAGCCCAAGCCAAACAUCUCAAAACUGCCCAUCAGCUUUCUGGUUCCCCAUAUUAAACAUAAGCAGACAGCCAGAGCUUGCCAGAUAUCCACAGGAGAUCACUAACCUUGAAGGUAGAAGCUAAAAUGAACCAACAGGGGAAAAAAAGCAACCUGGAGAAAACAGUAGCAAGGCAGAGAGAAGAAAACAACCAAACACUAAAAAGAUCAUGAAUAUCCUCUGAGAGUUAAGAGAAGAUACUGCAUCUGGGGAACAAAUGCUAUUAGGAAAAAGAAAAUCCAAAACAAACCAAAAAGCCCCACAGUUUCAAAGAACCAAGACAAAUUUUUAGAAAUUAAAAGCAUGAUAGAAAAAUGGUGUUAGGGUUGGAAUUAGAAAUGUUGAAAAAGAACGUUGAAUAAAUCUUCCAGAGAAUAAAGGGAAAGAGACAAUGAAAUAUAAAGAGAAGGGAAACAAAGAAUAAAAAAAAUUUUUUUCCCCAGAUUUGAAGUGAAUUUUGACUGAAUGGGCCCACUUGAUACCCAGCAUCACACAAAUCACAGUUAUUCACAUCAUGCUAAAAUUUCAAAAUAGGAGGAAGAUUCUACAAGUUUCAAAAAAGGGAAAACAAGUCACAUACAAAGGAUGAAGGAUCGAAAUUAUUUCAGACCUCUCAUCUGCCUCAGUGGAAGCUAAAAGACAAUGGAGGAAUGGCUCCAAAUUCUGAAGGAAAGUUAUUUCCAGCUUAGAAUACAUUGUCAGCCAAAAUAUCAACCAAGCAUAGAUCAAAGAUAGUUUCAGAUAUGAAAGUUCUAAACACUUUUGUUUUUGUCUUUUGUCUUAUUAGGGCGGCACCCAUGGCAUAUGGAGUUUCCCAGGCUAGGUGUCUAAUCGGAUCUACAGCUGCCAGCCUACAUCACAGUCACAACAACACCAGAUCCGGGCUGUAUCUGUGUCCUAUACCACAGCUCAUGGCAAUGCUGGAGCCUUAACCCACUGAGUGGGGCCAGGGAUCGAACCCACAACCUCGUGGUUCCUAGUCAGAUUCAUUUCCGCUGCGCCACACCAGGAACUCCCAAGUUCCAUACACUUUUACCUCCCAUGUGCCAUUUCUCAGGAAGCUUUUGGAGCCCACUCCACCAAAGCAAGGGAGUAAAUAAGCCAAUAAAGAGGAAGACAUGCUACAUGGUGCUUGGAACUCAAUCCCAGGAGCUGGUGACAGGAGUCGUCAGGAUGAGGGGAAAAUGGGCACAGCUCCCCAGCAGGUGCAGAAGGAGAUGGGUCCUGACUGGAGCAGCGAGACGCAAGAGGUAGACGUCGUCCUUUACGCUGCCCUUUCUCUCCUCAUGAACCUGUUAGUGGCUGCAUCCCACCAAGACAAGGGAGUGCACCAACCACGAGACCCAGGAGAUCCAGAAUCUAGACAUGGAGACAGGCAGAGGGACUUGGAGGGUGAAAGCCAAGGGAGAGAGGGGAGCUUGAGGCAGGACGGCUAAGGACAAAAACAAAAAACAAGUCAAUCAAGAGAUAGAGAUCUGCGAAUAAAUGUUUUAAAAAGUCUUUGGAAGGUGUAGAAAGAAUGUUUCCUGCACUAAGCUGGAAAAGUGAGCAAAUGAAAAAUCAGGGCAAUUAUUGAUUUCAGGAAAAACAAAGAUUGUACAACAUUGAAUACAUUUAACCAGAAAUUGUACUAUAAUGAUACUGGGUGGAUGGGAGUUGCGAAACAGAAGAAUGAUGGUGUGAGAAAACUAAAUCCUCCACAACCAAAAUGGAAAAUCUCAUGGAAAUGUCUAAAAGAAGGGAGGCAAAGAAAGCAUAAUUUUACAUUUUGUAUGGCUGUGUAGUAUUUAGGAGUGAAGUGUCAUGAUGUUUACAACUUUUUUUUUGUCUUUUUAGGGCCCCAUCCGCAGCAUAUGGAGGGUCCCAGGCUAGGGGUUGAAUCAGAGCUGUAGCUGCUGACCACAACCACAGCCACAGCCACAGCAACUCAGGAUCCGGGCCACAUCUGUGACCUACCCCACAGCUCACGGCAGCGUUGGAUCCUCAAGCCAGUGAGCGAAGCUAGGGAUCCAGUGUGUAUCCUCAUGGAUACUAGUCAGGUUCGUUAACCACCGAGCAGCAAUGGGAAUCCCGAUAUUUGCAGCUUUCUAAAGAAAUAUCCAAAAUGUGUGUAUAACUAAUUCUAUGUGUACAUGUAUAUAUGCUUUUUGGCAUUUUUCAUAAUAAAAACUU